GGGCGGGGGUUGCGUCUAGGAUGACUGGAUAGCAAGUGUGAAAAAUCAGGACCGGAGUGGGGGGUAAUAGGUAUCUGUAUAAGAAAAAUCCCUGAAUAGCAGGAUGGUCCCUAUAAAAUUGUGCC